GACGAACGCUGGCGGCGUGCUUAACACAUGCAAGUCGAACGGUGAAGGGACCAGCUUGCUGGUUCUGGAUGAGUGGCGAACGGGUGAGUAACACGUGAGUAACCUGCCCCCUUCUUCUGGAUAACCGCAUGAAAGUGUGGCUAAUACGGGAUAUUCUGGGUCUGUCGCAUGGCGGGCCCGGGAAAGAUAUUGCUUCGGUGGGGGAUGGGCUCGCGGCCUAUCAGCUUGUUGGUGGGGUGAUGGCCUACCAAGGCGGUGACGGGUAGCCGGCCUGAGAGGGUGGACGGUCACACUGGGACUGAGACACGGCCCAGACUCCUACGGGAGGCAGCAGUGGGGAAUAUUGCACAAGGGGCGCAAGCCUGAUGCAGCGACGCCGCGUGAGGGAUGGAGGCCUUCGGGUUGUAAACCUCUUUCGCCAGUGAAGCAGGCCUGCUCCUUGUGGGUGGGUUGACGGUAGCUGGAUAAGAAGCGCCGGCUAACUACGUG
rnacentral:rRNA from 1 species